rnacentral:rRNA from 1 species
GUGUCAGCAGCCGCGGUAAUACGUAGGGGGCGAGCGUUGUCCGGAUUUAUUGGGCGUAAAGCGCACGCAGGCGGUCCGCUACGUUCGCACUGACAGUCUCCGGCUUAACUGGGGAAGUGGUGCGAAAACGGGCAGACUUGAGGGCUUCAGAGGGACAUGGAAUUCCGGGUGUAGUGGUGAAAUGCGUAGAUAUCCGGAGGAACACCAAUGGCGAAGGCAAUGUCCUGGGAAGUACCUGACGCUCAGGUGCGAAAGCUAGGGGAGCGAACGGGAUUAGAUACCCCCGUAGUCC